UUUAUCGGAGAGUUUGAUCCUGGCUCAGGACGAACGCUGGCGGCGUGCCUAAUACAUGCAAGUCGAGCGAACAGAUGGGAGCUUGCUCCCUGAUGUUAGCGGCGGACGGGUGAGUAACACGUGGGUAACCUGCCUGUAAGACUGGGAUAACUCCGGGAAACCGGGGCUAAUACCGGAUGCUUGUUUGAACCGCAUGGUUCAAACAUAAAAGGUGGCUUCGGCUACCACUUACAGAUGGACCCGCGGCGCAUUAGCUAGUUGGUGAGGUAACGGCUCACCAAGGCGACGAUGCGUAGCCGACCUGAGAGGGUGAUCGGCCACACUGGGACUGAGACACGGCCCAGACUCCUACGGGAGGCAG
rnacentral:rRNA from 1 species